GAUGAACGCUGGCGGCGUGCUUAACACAUGCAAGUCGAACGAUGAAGCCCAGCUUGCUGGGUGGAUUAGUGGCGAACGGGUGAGUAACACGUGAGUAACCUGCCCUUAACUCUGGGAUGAGCCUGGGAAACUGGGUCUAAUACCGGAUAGGAGCGUCCACCGCAUGGUGGGUGUUGGAAAGAUUUAUCGGUUUUGGAUGGACUCGCGGCCUAUCAGCUUGUUGGUGAGGUAAUGGCUCACCAAGGCGACGACGGGUAGCCGGCCUGAGAGGGUGACCGGCCACACUGGGACUGAGACACGGCCCAGACUCCUACGGGAGGCAGCAGUGGGGAAUAUUGCACAAUGGGCGCAAGACUGAUGCAGCGACGCCGCGUGAGGGAUGACGGCCUUCGGGUUGUAAACCUCUUUCAGUAGGGAAGAAGCGAAAGUGACGGUACCUGCAGAAGAAGCACCGGCUAACUACGUG
rnacentral:rRNA from 1 species